CUACGGGCCGCUGCAGUGGGGAAUAUUGCACAAUGGGCGCAAGCCUGAUGCAGCCAUGCCGCGUGUAUGAAGAAGGCCUUCGGGUUGUAAAGUACUUUCAGCGGGGAGGAAGGGAGUAAAGUUAAUACCUUUGCUCAUUGACGUUACCCGCAGAAGAAGCACCGGCUAACUCCGUGCCAGCAGCCGCGGUAAUACGGAGGGUGCAAGCGUUAAUCGGAAUGACUGGGCGUAAAGCGCACGCAGGCGGUUUGUUAAGUCAGAUGUGAAAUCCCCGGGCUCAACCUGGGAACUGCAUCUGAUACUGGCAAGCUUGAGUCUCGUAGAGGGGGGUAGAAUUGCAGGUGUAGCGGUGAAAUGCGUAGAGAUCUGGAGGAAUACCGGUGGCGAAGGCGGCCCCUUGGACGAAGACUGACGCUCAGGUGCGAAAGCGUGGGGAGCAAACAGGAUUAGAUACCCCUGUAGUC
rnacentral:rRNA from 1 species